rnacentral:rRNA from 1 species
AACGAACGCUGGCGGCGUGCCUAACACAUGCAAGUCGAGCGAGAAAGCUCCUUCGGGAGUGAGUAAAGCGGCGCACGGGUGAGUAACACGUAGGUAACCUACCCUCGAGCCGUGGGAUAACCUACCGAAAGGUGGGCUAAUACCGGAUAUGACCACGGGAGCCACGGCUCCUGCGGUGAAAGAUGGCCUAAGCUUGCAAGCUAUCACUUGAGGAUGGGCCUGCGCACCAUAGCUAGUUGGCGGGGUAAUGGCCCACCAAGGCUAUGAUGGUUAGCUGGCCUGAGAGGAUGGCCAGCCACACUGGGACUGGAGUACACGGCCCAGACUCCUACGGGAGGCAGCAGUGGGAAUCUUGCGCAAUGGGCGAAAGCCUGACGCAGCGACGCCGCGUGAGGGAUGACGGCCUCGGUUCGUAA